rfam:Candidatus Moranbacteria bacterium RIFCSPHIGHO2_01_FTLL_55_24 rifcsphigho2_01_scaffold_981, whole genome shotgun sequence.
GGCCCUAUCGUCUAGCGGCUAGGACAUCUCCCUCUCACGGAGAAAACAGGGGUCCGAUUCCCCUUAGGGCUA